AGAGUUUGAUCCUGGCUCAGGAUGAACGCUGGCGGCGUGCCUAAUACAUGCAAGUCGAGCGGUAACACUUCGGGUGACGAGCGGCGGACGGCUGAGUAACGCGUAGGAACGUACCCCAAACUGAGGGAUAAGCACCAGAAAUGGUGUCUAAUACCGCAUAUGGUCUUCGGAUUAAAGCUUCGGCGGUUUGGGAACGGCCUGCGUAUGAUUAGCUUGUUGGUGAGGUAAAAGCUCACCAAGGCGACGAUCAUUAGCUGGUCUGAGAGGAUGAUCAGCCAGACUGGGACUGAGACACGGCCCAGACUCCUACGGGAGGCAGCAGUAGGGAAUCUUCCACAAUGGGCGAAAGCCUGAUGGAGCAACGCCGCGUGCAGGAUGAAAGCCUUCGGGUCGUAAACUGCUUUUAUAUGUGAAGACUUCGACGGUAGCAUAUGAAUAAGGAUCGGCUAACUCCGUGCCAGCAGCCGCGGUCAUACGGAGGAUCCAAGCGUUAUCCGGAAUUACUGGGCGUAAAGAGUUGCGUAGGUGGCAUAGUAAGUUGGUAGUGAAAUUGUGUGGCUCAACCAUACACCCAUUACUAAAACUGCUAAGCUAGAGUAUAUGAGAGGUAGUUGGAAUUCCUAGUGUAGGAGUGAAAUCCGUAGAUAUUAGGAGGAACACCGAUGGCGUAGGCAGACUACUGGCAUAUUACUGACACUAAGGCACGAAAGCGUGGGGAGCGAACGGGAUUAGAUACCCCGGUAGUCCACGCCGUAAACGAUGGAUGCUAGCUGUUAUGAGUAUCGACCCUUGUAGUAGCGAAGCUAACGCGUUAAGCAUCCCGCCUGUGGAGUACGAGCGCAAGCUUAAAACAUAAAGGAAUUGACGGGGACCCGCACAAGCGGUGGAGCGUGUUGUUUAAUUCGAUGAUAAGCGAAGAACCUUACCAAGGCUUGACAUCCCUGGAAGGUCUCCGAAAGGAGACUGUGCCUUCGGGAAUCAGGUGACAGGUGAUGCAUGGCCGUCGUCAGCUCGUGUCGUGAGAUGUUUGGUUAAGUCCACCAACGAACGCAACCCCUUUGACGUGUUG
rnacentral:rRNA from 1 species